rnacentral:rRNA from 1 species
UAGGGAAUCUUCGGCAAUGGACGAAAGUCUGACCGAGCAACGCCGCGUGAGUGAAGAAGGUUUUCGGAUCGUAAAACUCUGUUGUUAGAGAAGAACAAGGACGUUAGUAACUGAACGUCCCCUGACGGUAUCUAACCAGAAAGCCACGGCUAACUACGUGCCAGCAGCCGCGGUACUACGUAGGUGGCAAGCGUUGUCCGGAUUUAUUGGGCGUAAAGCGAGCGCAGGCGGUUUCUUAAGUCUGAUGUGAAAGCCCCCGGCUCAACCGGGGAGGGUCAUUGGAAACUGGGAGACUUGAGUGCAGAAGGGGAGAGUGAAAUUCCAUGUGUAGCGGUGAAAUGCGUAGAUAUAUGGAGGAACACCAGUGGCGAAGGCGGCUCUCUGGUCUGUAACUGACGCUGAGGCUCGAAAGGGUGGGGAGCAAACAGG